AUUUUAUGGUACAUAAUUACAUCUCAAUAAAGCUAUUAUUUUAAAAGUAUUCUAUAUGUAAGUGUAUAUACAUGUAUAAAUAUGCAAACACACAUUUUAUGCUAAUUCAGAGAUUGACAUAGUUUUAUAUCUACUUAAAUUUUUUUUAGGAUUCUAAAAUAUUAACAUGCAAGAACAUACUGGAAUAUCACAAAAACUAGUUUGAUAGAACUGAUAUAGUCUAUCAAACCUGAAGACUUUAAACCUGAAGCUCCGUUGAAUCAGCAACUUUAAAGUCCUAGAAACAGUGGCAAUCUCCUCUCUCCUGAGUGAGCUUAACUCUAAUUUCAAUGUCAUAUUUGUAUGGAAUCAAGAAAGCCUCCAAAUUAGCUGGUGCAUCUCCAACCAC
rnacentral:lncRNA from 10 species